rnacentral:rRNA from 1 species
CAGGGGGUGCUAGCGUUGUUCGGAAUUACUGGGCGUAAAGGGCGCGUAGGCGGUUUAGCAAGUCAGAUGUGAAAGCCCGGGGCUUAACUCCGGAAGUGCAUUUGAAACUGCUAGGCUAGAGUGCAGUAGAGGUUAUUGGAAUUCCCAGUGUAGAGGUGAAAUUCGUAGAUAUUGGGAGGAACACCAGUGGCGAAGGCGGAUAACUGGGCUGUAACUGACGCUGAGGCGCGAAAGCGUGGGGAUCAAACAGGAUUAGAUACCCUGGUAGUCCACGCCGUAAACGAUGGAUACUCGCUGUGGCUGGUAUUGACCCCGGCCGUAGCCAAGUUAACACGAUAAGUAUCCCGCCUGGGAAGUACGGUCGCAAAGAUUA